rnacentral:rRNA from 1 species
AUUGAACGCUGGCGGCAGGCCUAACACAUGCAAGUCGAGCGAGCGGCGGACGGGUGAGUAAUGUCUGGGAAACCGCCUGAUGGAGGGGGAUAACCACUGGAAACGGUAGCCAAUACCGCAUACUAUUAGAUCUGCCCAGAUGGGAUUAGCUAGUUGGUGUGGUAACGGCUCACCCAGGCGACGAUCCCUAGCUGGUCUGAGCGGGUGACCAGCGAAACUGGAACUGAGACACGGUCCAGACGCCUAAGGGAGGCAGCAGUGGGGAAUAUUGCACAAUGGGCGCAAGCCUGAUGCAGCCAUGCCGCGUGUAUGAAGAAGGACUUCGGGUUGUAAAGCACUUUCAGCGGGGAGGCGUUACCCGCAGAAGAAGCACCGGCUAACUCCGUGCCAGCAGCCGCGGUAAUUC